UAAGGAAUAUUGGUCAAUGGACGCAAGUCUGAACCAGCCAUGCCGCGUGGAGGAUGAAGGCCCUCUGGGUUGUAAACUUCUUUUAUAUGGGACGAAACCCUCUCAUUCUUGAGAGACUGACGGUACCAUAGGAAUAAGCACCGGCUAACUCCGUGCCAGCAGCCGCGGUAAUACGGAGGGUGCAAGCGUUAUCCGGAUUCACUGGGUUUAAAGGGUGCGUAGGAGGGCAGGUAAGUCAGUGGUGAAAUCCCCGAGCUUAACUUGGGAACUGCCGUCGAUACUAUCUGUCUUGAAUAUUGUGGAGGUGAGCGGAAUAUGUCAUGUAGCGGUGAAAUGCUUAGAUAUGACAUAGAACACCAAUUGCGAAGGCAGCUCGCUACACAAAUAUUGACUCUGAGGCACGAAAGCGUGGGGAUCAAACAGGAUUAGAUACCCUGGUAGUCCACGCCCUAAACGAUGGAUACUCGACAUACGCGAUACACAGUGUGUGUCUGAGCGAAAAGCAUUAAGUAUCCCACCUGGGAAGUACGACCGCAAGGUUGAAACUCAAAUGAAUUGACGGGGGUCAUAGCUGUUUCCUG
rnacentral:rRNA from 1 species